rnacentral:lncRNA from 1 species
UCAAGCCUAGAGCAUAAACUGCGGCACCGACCCCCUCAGUCCAGAUAAAUGAACAGAAUAAGCAGAGGCUGGCUCCAGGAGGCCAAAGUAUACUUUCAUUUCCACUGAGCAGAGAGGGAGAUGGGGCGAGAGUGGCAUCUAUUGUCUUAUUGUUUCCCUUGUCCCACUGUUCCUUGCUAUAAAAGAACCUGUUGUGCCCAGAUUACGAAGUCCCAAAGACCACCAGGAGGCCGUUUCCGAAGUCCUUUGCAGAAUGAAACGAUCAACACCAGGUGGGCUCCCCCAGCCCCUUCAGCUCGCUGCCUGGCCUCUGCUGUUUCUGGACAUUUCAAGCUGAUGUGUGCCCCAGGCCCUUGGCCCUAGCUUUCACUCCAUCCGUUGUUCUUUCUGGAGCUCUCCCCAGAGUUGCCUACUCCUCUUCAUUCCCUGUUGACCAGUUGCUCUCAUAAAAAAUACUGGAAAA